rnacentral:rRNA from 1 species
GUAAAAGUCGUAACAAGGUUUCCGUAGGUGAACCUGCGGAAGGAUCAUUAAUAAAUGUACGCCUAGAGAAAGUCUUAAACUACUUGAUCUAGUGCUGUAUAUAACCACCUGUUUACCUUUACCUGUUGCUUCCGUGGAAUUACGGGUGCUCUUUCUGUUCGCAGACUUGAGUUACCUUCCACGGGUGUAUUUAAAAAAUUGUCUUGCUGAAUUGUCUGAUAUAAAAUUUUAAUAAGUUAAAACUUUCAACAACGGAUCUCUAGGUUCUCGCAUCGAUGAAGAACGCAGCGAAAUGCGAUAAGUAGUGUGAAUUGCAGAUUUCAGUGAAUCAUCGAAUCUUUGAACGCACAUUGCGCCCUUUGGUAUUCCGAAGGGCAUGCCUGUCUGAGCGUCAAUAAAUCAAUCAAACCUUGGUUUGGUAUUGGGAGAAGUGGCUCUGCCUCUCUCCUUUAAGCUAUUGGCGACACUAUUUCAGCUUGUAAGACGUAGUAAGUAAUAUUCUCGUUAAAGCAACUGUGUAGUCGUCUGCCAACUGAACGAUUUAUUUUAAAGCUUGACCUCAGAUCAGGUAGGGAUACCCCCUGAACUUAAGCAUAUCAAUAA